GAGGUACUCCCUCCAUUCAUAAUUACUUGUCACAAAAAUGGAUGUAUCUACAACUAAAAUACAUCUAGAUACAUUCAUUUCUUGGACGAGUAAUUCCGAACGGAGGGAGUAUGUU
rfam:Triticum urartu cultivar G1812 contig29440, whole genome shotgun sequence.